rnacentral:rRNA from 1 species
GCUACGGGAGGCUGCAGUGAGGAAUCUUGGUCAAUGGACGGAAGUCUGAACCAGCCAUGUCGCGUGCAGGAAGACGGCUCUAUGAGUUUUAAACUGCUUUUGUACAAGGGUAAACCUGAAUACGUGUAUUAAGCUGAAAGUACUGUACGAAUAAGGAUCGGCUAACUCAGUGCCAGCAGCAGCGGUAAUACGGAGGAUCCAACCUGUAUCCGGAUUUUUUGGGUUUAUAGGGUGCGUCGGCGGAUUGGUAUGUUAGAUGUAAAGUGUCCGUGGUUAACUCGGGAACUGCCUAUAAAACUGGUGAUCUGAGGAGUAGAGGCGGUAGGCGGAAUGUAUGGUGUAGCGGU